CCAACGGCCCUCUUUAGGGCCACAAAUUUCCUAUAAUCCAAGAAC
rnacentral:ncRNA from 13 species